rnacentral:tRNA from 1 species
GUUGGAGUGGCAGAGCCCGGCUAUUGCGAAAGACCUAAGCCCUUUAAACAGAGGUUCAAGUCCUCUCCCCAACU